rnacentral:rRNA from 1 species
GACGUAGGGCGCGAGCGUUGUCCGGAUUUAUUGGGCGUAGAGAGCUCGUAGGCGGUUUGUUGCGUCGGCUGUGAAAACCCAUGGCUUAACUGUGGGCUUGCAGCCGAUACGGGCAGACUAGAGUUCGGUAGGGGAGACUGGAAUUCCUGGUGUAGCGGUGAAAUGCGCAGAUAUCAGGAGGAACACCAAUUGCGAAGGCAGCUCGCUGGGACGUUACUGACGCUGAGACGCGAAAGCGUGGGGAGCAAACAGG